CUACAAAAGUGCAUCUCUGAACCUCUGUGGAAACAUGGCCUUCAAUAGACCUGAGGACAUGGAGGAACACCUGCAGAGGGCAGCCGUCCAAGUGUGGCUCGCCAACCAUGCAGGCUUUGGGCGUGGCUCUGUGGGCGGGGACCGGAAUCCAAAAAAAGGGGGAGAGAACCGUGCGUAAAAGCGCGCAGCGUCACGAGCUCCUCCUCUCCUGUCCAGUCUCUUCGAAUGAAUUAAGAUGGCCGCCCUGCGUUCAUCUGGGAUGUGGAGGGCAACGAAGAUAAUCGUCCGAUCGACGUCUCAUCUGACGAGGACGAAGAAGACGAUGAUGAUGAUGAUGAUGAUGAUGAUGAUGACGACGAUGAUGACGAUGAUGAUGAUGAUGAUGACGAUGAUGAUGAUGACGAUGAUGAUGACGAUGAUGAUGAUGAUGAUGAUGAGGAGGACUGGUCUGAUGACACCAGCACUGAUUCGGGGUACAGCACCAUGACAGAGGAUGAAGACGACCAUGAUGAAGACUUCAUACCUCCCCCCCCUCUCGCUCGCCAACUCCCACCAGGAAACUUUUGACAGGAUUACUGACAGAUAGUUUCACAUUCCUCUUGCUGCUCCUGUUGGUCUUCCUUCCCGUAUUCUAGACGCUGCUCCCACUUAUCCUGCUGCUGCUCAGCAGCUGAUGGUCUGGCACCCUGAGGUACCUGCUGAGCACCAGAAGCUAGUCUGCUCCCUCACCCUCAGGCCUCAGCUCCUGGACAAAGAGGAGCAGGGACGAGGACUACACUGAGCAGGUCAAUUCUAAGAGAGCGCGGAGGACUGAUGAGGGAAACCCUGAGGAGUCGGCUCCUUCGACGUUAGGCCUCAGCUCCUUUACAACCAGGGAAGAGGACUACAGGGACUCAGCUCCUUCAACUUCAGGCCUUGGAGUCUUCACAGAACCCCAGGGCCUAUUUGGUUGUUGUAGUUUUUAGUGGUCAUAACCUCGAUACACUCAGCCUGCUCUGAACUAUUAAUUAUCAUAAUGCAACAUAAUAUACACAUUGCCGAUAUAUCUUAGUCUUGGGAUAUUGGCUGAUGGUUAAUACAGUUACAGUCAUGGCCACAUGAAGAAGAAUCAGAUCCUUUACUUCAGUAGAAGAAGAAAAACCAAUUAAAAGUCCUUGCUUCUUUUAAAGGUUUAUUUCCUGAUACAUGACAUUAUUGGAUUAUUUGUAUGUUUAACUUUUGCUGAGGUGAAAACAAGAAUUACAUAUUGUUGGACAGAUGCAUCAUAUUUUACAAGCUGAUCACAUGUUGAAUAAGUUUCAUAAAAUCUGUAACUAUGAAGUCAGUAGCAACAUCAUCUGUCGGGUGAAUGUAGUGAAGGAAAAUGUUCGGUGUUUCCUCUGACAUGUAGGGAAGUAGUAGUUAUGACUUGAUGCUGUUUCCUGUCAGAGGGAGUGAAAAGCAGCUUCCUGUCGAUGUGUCAGCUCAGUGAGAGAAUCAGAGCUCGACUGAGGACGAACUGGAGAGACACAGCGGCAGACGGAUCUCGGAGCAGCGUUUGAAAGCAUCAUAGAGGCGAUAGAGUGGGGAGACGUGGUUGACACUGUGCAGGCGGUGGUAGAUCAAAUGUUGAGAGAUAAAUCCUUAGUUCAGUCCUUUAGAUCAGUUCCUUCAUCACUAAUCUCAACAGUUUACAAAGUGCCGCCCCUCCCUACACACACCAGGCUGGAACUAGUGACGAUCCCCGCCCCCUUUUUUCUCUCUGGAGGCGUCGGUGAUGGUUUAUCAGCACACAACCUGAUUGAUUGGCUGAUUGACAAAUAAAUUAAUUGUCCCAGCUCCAACUGUGAGCUUCAGUCUGUCUGUGGAUUCCCUCAGGGCAGGAGCUCAGUGCAGAUCACCUGCUGCAGGUCACUGAGUCAUGUUUUAGUGUAUGAUAUUAAGACCAGGGCGGAGAUCACAGAACCCUGGCUCAUUGUCUCUAAAGGCAAGUGGAGAAGUGAAGAGAAUUGCUGCUGACCUGGACCUGCUCCUCCACACCAGAUGAGACCCUGGUUCACCACACACUCCGAAGCCUCUUCACUGCUGCAGGAGACAGCAGGCUCAGCAGCAUCACGGUGAUAUCAGUGAUCAGUCACAGCUAGACUUUGUCCUGUUUCACUCCAAAACUCCAAGAACGACACAUUUGAGAGAAGAAGAAGAAGAAUCAAUCUCAACAAGGCUUCAGGGCAUCAGUCUCAGGUGUGGUCGUAAGGCAAGAGAGAGUAAGAAAGGCUCCCACCUAAAGGUUAAAGGUCAGACAAUAUUUCUGUGGAUCACAGUGUGAUGAUGACGGUGAUGAAGAACAGCCAGGUUCAAAACCUCCUUUAUCUUCAGCUGUAAACUGAAUUGUGUGUUUUUACAGACGAGGUCAGAACUUUCAGAAACUCAACAGCAAUUGUGAUGAUUUGAAAUGAAAUAUUUUUUAUUUGAUGUUCGAUCAAAAUGUUCCCCAGUGAAGUUUAAGAAGCGUCUGGUUCUGAAAGUGUUACAAAGUGUCAGCGGACUGAUCAGACAUGGCCGUCA